rnacentral:misc_RNA from 1 species
CUGAAAAACAGCAGAGAAGCCAUAGCG